CUGGGUGUGGGGUAGCGGUUGCCCACUUGCCUUGGGAGCAAGCCGACGCAGGUUCGAAUCCUGUUGCCCAGA
rnacentral:tRNA from 1 species